ACUCCUACGGGAGGCAGCAGUGGGAAGUAUUGCACAAUGGGGAACCGUACUGNAGCCAUGCCGCGUGUGUGAAGAAGGCCUUCGGGUUGUAAAAGCACUUUCAGUAGGGAGGAAGGUAGUGUAGUUAACACCUGCACUAUUUGACGUUACCUACAGAAGAAGCACCGGCUAACUCCGUGCCAGCAGCCGCGGUAAUACGGAGGGUGCGAGCGUUAUCCGGAUUUAUUGGGUUUAAAGGGUUCCGUAGGCGGAUUAAUAAGUCAGUGGUGAAAUCCCAUCGCUUAACGAUGGAACUGCCAUUGAUACUGUUAGUCUUGAAUGAGGGUGCAGUGGUUGGAAUGUGUAGUGUAGCGGUGAAAUGCAUAGAUAUUACACAGAACACCGAUUGCGAAGGCAGAUCACUAACCUAAAUUGACGCUGAGGGACGAAAGCGUGGGGAGGCAAACAGGAUUAGAUACCCUGGUAGACUGUC
rnacentral:rRNA from 1 species